rnacentral:rRNA from 1 species
UGGGGAAUCUUGCGCAAUGGGCGAAAGCCUGACGCAGCGACGCCGCGUGCGGGAAGAAGGCCUUCGGGUUGUAAACCGCUUUCAGGAGGGACGAAGCCACUCGGGUUAAUAGCCUAGAGGGUGACGGUACCUCCAGAAGAAGCCCCGGCUAACUACGUGCCAGCAGCCGCGGUAAUACGUAGGGGGCUAGCGUUGUCCGGAUUUAUUGGGCGUAAAGAGCGCGUAGGCGGCUAGGUAAGUCCGACGUGAAAUCUGGAGGCUCAACCUCCAGCGGUCGUUGGAAACUACUUGGCUAGAGUCCGGAAGAGGAGAGUGGAAUUCCUGGUGUAGCGGUGAAAUGCGCAGAUAUCAGGAAGAACACCGAUGGCGAAAGCAGCUCUCUGGGACGGUACUGACGCUGAGGCGCGAAAGCGUGGGGAGCGAACAGGAUUAGAUACCCUGGUAGUCCACGCCGUAAACGAUGGGUGCUAGGUGUGAGCGGUGUCGACUCCGCUCGUGCCG